rnacentral:lncRNA from 1 species
CCCAUUUGGCUAUGUUCAAUCAUUUAUAAAAGAAUAGGUUGCCGAUUAUAUCCAUUGUGUUUGAUGGUAACCGGAUUUUGAAUUUAACAUUAAUGUAUAUUGAGGAACUGUGUUUAGCCCAUUUGACUCUGUUCUAUCAUUAACAAAAUGGUUGCCGAUUAUAUAAUUUGUGUUUGGUGGUAAACGGAUGGUUGCCGAUUAUAUACUUUGUGUUGGGAUGGUAAUCGGAUUUUUAAUUUAUGAUUAAUGUAUAUUGAUGAACUGUGUUUGCCCAUUUGGCUAUGUUCUAUCACAAAAAAGAGAGUUGCUCAUUAUAUUCAUUGUGUUGUAUGGUAAUUAGAUUUUGAAUUCAUGACUAAUGUAUAUUGAUGAACUUAUUUUAGCCCAUUUGUUAAAUGAUUGACCAUUUCAGUCUUAUUGUCUGAAUGCCCACUAUAGACAUUGUGUAUGGUGGUGACAUGAUUUCGAAUUGAUGUGCUGCCAAAUUGCAAAUUUGUCAUAUUUUCCUUUCUAUCUCAAAGUUUAUAACGGGCUAGCGACAAAAUUUACAUAUAUUAAUAUACUUUUGCCAAAUGUUCAAGUAUACAAUUGAAUAUUUCUAGACAACGUCAAAAACCCAAGGAGUUCCGCAACACAGUCCAGAUGGUACAGCCACACCGCAACGCUACCAAGCCGUUUCAGCCCCGCAAUCGGUGAAUCUGAACCCGCAACAACUUGUAGUUGUGGUGAGCCUUGUUGCAGAACACCAUUGUUCCGUGUUUGCGCAGCGAAGGGGCAUUUUGGCUGAUGAUUCGCUGCACUGUCAGACAGUGUUGAACAAAAUGAAUCACUAGUAGCUACCAAUCAAUAUCGUUCUAGGUACUCGUCACUUGGACCUCGUGGAAUCUUCAGAUAGCCAAAACCGGCAUCUCAAAGAGGGUCACUUAAACCUCCAUUCCCUCACCAAAACCCUUAUUGGCCUAGCAGUAUUACAAGUCUACCUUUCUUUAUAUUCAAAUAAAUAAGUGGCAGCUGAAUUUUUAGAGGGUUCUAACAAAGGGUUUCGGUUACAAAACCAGCGCCCUAGAGUCCAAACUUCAGUCAAACUUUAAUUUCCGUUAGGCAAAACUCUGCUGUAGCUAAUGAGAAAGUUACUAGUAUGUAGGAAGAGCAGUUAAGCAGAAUUGCGGUUCCUUUUAAAGAAAUGCCUGUUCCAAGUUUCAGGCAAUCCGCGAUCAGUCUUGUGGCCAAAAAGAUGGUAGCUCGAGGAAUAUACACCAUCUUUCCUUCCCGAAGGGAACCCCGCAGGGUUCAAGUUUGAAUAAUUUUAUUGAUACGUCUUCUUUCUCAGUUCAGUACACUUCUUUAGACAGAGUGACGGAGCUAUUGUUUCAUUAGUGCAAUAUUGCGAAAUGGCUAAAGUUGGCAUCAAAUCUGCCUGUCGCCUUUUGAGGUUCAUAAUUAUGAUUUUGAAAUUAUUAGCCUUCAAAUUAGGAGGGGAUUAUUUUACUGACAAGACGUUACCUAUGAGUGUGCAAUCUUUUGCUGCCAUUGGGAAAAGUUUGCUAAUUUAUUACAAUAGCUGGUCCGGUACAAGAGGAAAUCCGAAAGGCUGUUUUAUUACUUGGAUAAUUAUGUUUGUUUGGCUCGCUCUAAUUCAGGGAAUGUAUGACCAAUUUGUUCUGUUUUAUAGAUAAAUGCCUUAACAUACCCGUAGCAAAAAAAAAAAUGCAAGCCUAUUGAUCUUUCAAUUUCUGUAACAGAGCCAUUCCCUUUCUAGACUAUUUAGUAGUGGUUUCAAUGCGAUCGUGUCAGCUUUACUUGCAUGCACAGACGACUUGCACCUUACUGCACUUUUAGCCCAUCUUUUAAUCAAGAAUGUAGCUCGUCAUACAACAUGUCUGUAUAUCUCGGACAUUUCUUCGAUUGUAAAAUAAAUAGUCUUGAAUAUCUUACUUAAAGAUUUAUGUUACGUUGAAUGCUUAUCAGUUUUGAUAGGUUGCAUCGGACAAUUGACAUCAGGCAACCUAUAACGCUUGAUUUACUUCGUAAACUUAUACAGGUGACAAAUACUGUUUGCUCUUCUAUAUUUUAGGCAUUACAGUUUUCAGCAGUAAUUUCCCUGACCGUUUUGAUUUUUAAGGAUAUGUGAGCUUGUACACACGAACUCAAACUCCUCGAAUAUAAGUACCAAAGGUCACGCAUUAUGUGAGGGAGACGUUAGUAUUCUUUUCAGUGCGUCCUACCCAUAUUUGGAUAGUUGGAUGUUCAAUUAUAAAGUCGGUAUUUCGUUACGACAAGGAAUCAGCUGAGGGUUCUCAACUUGUAAUGCAGCGUCAUAAUGCGACCAUACUGUGUCAGAGUCAGGAUGGUAUGAAAUGGCGGCAAGUUAAACCAUUAAUCUUACACUUGUUUCCUUUUGAAGACAAUCAAGGUAUCAUUGUUAUUCAUUGAGUAAUUAACUUAUUUUUCAUAAGAGAGAGCUAGAAAACGCGUUAAUAAUUUCGCUGCUCAUUUGUUUGUUGUUUGUUUUUUUAAAUACAUUGGUGGAUACGUUCGUUAACCAGAAAUCGUCGAAUCCGUGACGGGUCUCUUCAACAGGGAUGGGGUGCACUUGUCAUAAUUUGGAAAUAUUUUGUUUUUAUUCACUCUGCAAAACAAGGGUCAGUCCUUUUUAGCAGAAAAUUGUUAAGGCACAGCUUCUUAGGCAGGGUUUGCUUCGCUAUACUGGUGGCGGUUGUCAAGAAUUUUCCACGUUGUUCCAAAUUCUCGACAUGUGGCGGUUAGGUCAGCCUCCACCAGUAUAUCUGAACGUUGUGUAAUAAGAAGUUUGUUUGUUUCAAGUAUACUGUAUUAGGCCUCUGUUC